rnacentral:lncRNA from 9 species
GGAAACCGACGGACAGGGUGGAUAGACUAUCUGUGCUAUCUUUGUGAAAGCAAAAACCUUGAAUACUUUCUCUCUGUAUUUUUGAAGUAUUUCUUAGGAGUCAGCAUACGGUCAAUUAUUUUUCAGAGCAAUCAAUGAGCAAGAAGUUUUGGCUUAGGACUUGAUGUAGCGAAAUGACGUCAAAAAUAAAAAAAAAUCGAGGCUCGCACAUGCGCAGUGAGAUGCAGUUUUUUUGGAUUUUUUUUUUUUUUUUUUUUUUUUUUUUAAAGUAAAAGCUUUGGGCUCCUCACACCCCCUCGGGGAUCCAGCCUGAGCCUCGGGGUCUAGGUAGCUGGCUGAUGUAAGAUAGUGUAGGAUUCCCACACCCCGCUCCCAGCCAAGAAAGUCUGACUGCGCCGCCUCCCGCGGCCCCCCGCCACCAACUGGGCUUUUAAGUCCCGGGGGGAGGAGACAGCCCAGGGGAAGCUGGGCCGACCCGAGCGGCAGCCGCGAGCUUUUCUGGCUGCUCAGCACUGCGGGGCCUUUGCUCCCGGGGUUCCGGUCUCCGCCCGCUCUGGGCUUGCCCCUGCCAGUUGGCCGCACCAUUCCCAGAACUGCGCGGAGACCGCGGAGGUGCCCGUUGGGGUUUGAGAAACUUUGGCCUAAAGAGCCGAGGACACCGCUGGAGCAUCACGUUCUUCCCUUCUCCCGGGGCCCCAACACCCCCUCCACGCUGAACGCAGCUGUCUGCCAGCGCCAGCGCCGUCGAGCCGUAGACCCCGCUCCCAUUCUGCGCGUCGGCCCAGAACCUUCCGUUUGGGGCUCGCGGAGCCGCGGCGCAACCCUGGCGGGACCCGCACCUGAAGGAUGCGUGGGGCCUGUCCUCUCGGGUCUCAGCCCGGAUGCGGGAUUGGUGUGCUUCGGUGUUUUUUUGUUGUUUUCCCCUAUGUGACACCUUCCAUCUUUUGUCUCUUGUGCCCUGUACUAAUAAAAAGAUGGGAAAGGGAUAGUACCGACUUUGGCUGAGACAAAUCCAACAAGGUCAAGAUUUUAAAGAGGUGGGCGACUUGGAGGUGUUCAGAGGGAGUAGUUGACAGACUUCUAUAGCAGGGCGCCUAGAGAGUAUCUGAUAGUGCGGGGUUUGAGUACAAAUUUAAAGGAAAACUCAUGUAAGUCCUUAAAAAGAAAGUAUUCCCAUAACAUUCGCACACACAACACGCACACCAAGCAGCAAUAAUUUGAUUUUUAUGCAUGUCCCACUGCCCUAGAAAGCGUUAUGCUGCAUUUCAGAAUUCUACAUUAGAAGCAUCAAUUUUUAUAUCAAUCAUUUUGUGCUAUAUGGUGCCUUUGGAGGUGAAAUCAUUUGUGUGCGGGAUCCCCUAAUCAGAUUCACUUUGGUAGUGGAAAAGAUAAGUUCAGUCUCUGCAUCCACUGAAUUACUGGAAAAGGAAGCAAUGUACAGGCAUAUUUUUAGAACUUUGGGGCUAGCAAAAUCACUGUCAUUUUAACAUUUUAUUGGCCUUAACACAAAGUAAAUAAAAACUUUAAAUAUAAGGAGUUGACUUUAAAAGGCUUGAAAAGCAAAGAAUUGGUAACAGGGCACAAACACAACACCAGUAUAGAAAUGUUAACCUUCACCUCCUAGAUGGAAGUGUCCAAGUCUCUUUUGCUCUGCUGACAAACUUGAUGGCACAAUUGGUUGGUCUGCUGAAACCUAAAUGUAAAAUCCUGAGGCUUUUUCCCCAAAGAGGGGCAGAGCAACAUUUAAGAUGUCAUAUGUAUGCUUUCAUCAUUACAGGUCCAUUUCGAGUCCACUAACUUUGUUAUAGGGUGUGUCAUGCCUCUAUUUUUAAUUCAAGUAAGUAUGGAGUUAUAUUUUAAAUUUUAGGUUUGGUAUGGACAAAAUGAUUAUUGUAUUCUCAGAAGUUAAAUAAUUACUUGCAGGUGCCAAAUGAAUGCAUACUUAAAUACUACCAUUAUUUUUUUAAUUCUUUGGGGGAGGAGGGAAGGAGAUUUCAUAUCUGGAUAAAACUCAGGUUUGUUUGUUUGGUUUUUUUUUCUUAAAAACAAGGCACCUUUUAUUAGUUAAGUAAUACUUUAGAUAUUCUCACCUCUUCCCCUAGGUUAUCCUAAAUUCCUCUUUGUUCCCAAAGUACUCACAAUGCUGAGUGCAAUUAUAACCCCUAAAACAGGGCAG